UAGGGAAUCUUCCACAAUGGGCGAAAGCCUGAUGGAGCAACGCCGCGUGAGUGAUGAAGGCCUUUGGGUUGUAAAACUCUGUCUUCUGUGACGAACAAGCCUGUGAGUAAAAUGCUCAGGCCCUGACGGUAACAGAGGAGGAAGCCACGGCUAACUACGUGCCAGCAGCCGCGGUAAUACGUAGGUGGCAAGCGUUGUCCGGAAUCACUGGGCGUAAAGCGCGCGCAGGCGGCGAUCUACGUCUGGGGUGAAAGCCCGGAGCUCAACUCCGGGACUGCCUUGGAUACGGGAUCGCUUGAGAAUUGGAGAGGCAAGGGGAAUUCCACGUGUAGCGGUGAAAUGCGUAGAUAUGUGGAGGAACACCUGUGGCGAAGGCGCCUUGCUGGCCAAUUUCUGACGCUGAGGCGCGAAAGCGUGGGAGCAAACAGGAUUAGAUACCCUGGUAGUCCACGCCGUAAACGAUGAGUGCUAGGUG
rnacentral:rRNA from 1 species